rnacentral:tmRNA from 1 species
GGGGACGAUCGGUUUCGACGGGGAGUACUUUAAAAAGACUGCAAGCAGACUUUGAUUCUAGGUCUUGAUAAGAAUCAAAAAAUAAAAGCUAACGAAAGUGAUGCUUUUCCAGCUGGCUACGCAUUCGCGACAGCUUAAGCUGGCAUCCUGAGAUUUGAUUCUCUACCGAAUCGAAUGGGUGUAAACCAGUAGAGAUGCCGUAAAUAUUGACGGCUUUAAUAUAUUUACGAAAGAAAAUAAGCCAAAACAAAGUCCCGUUCGACGGGAAUAAGCUUGUAGAAGUCUUUUAACUGAAUUUCUCGGACGCGGGUUCAAUUCCCGCCGUCUCCACUC